rnacentral:sRNA from 1 species
UAUCCCACGUAAUAGGGGACAAAGGAGAACCAGGUCUCAAAGGAUUCGCAGGAAAUCCAGGUGAGAAAGGAAACAGAGGCGUUCCAGGGAUGCCAGGUUUAAAGGGCCUCAAAGGACUACCUGGACCAGCAGGACCACCAGGCCCCAGAGGAGAUUUGGGCAGCACUGGGAAUCCUGGAGAACCAGGACUGCGUGGUAUACCAGGAAUCAUGGGGAACAUGGGCAUGCCAGGUUCUAAAGGAAAAAGGGGAACUUUGGGAUUCCCAGGUCGAGCAGGAAGACCAGGCCUCCCAGGUAUUCAUGGUCUCCAGGGAGAUAAGGGAGAGCCAGGUUAUUCAGAAGGUACAAGGCCAGGACCACCGGGACCAACGGUAUAUAGGCCACUGAAAUAUUUACACUUUAGUGGUGGAGUGAGUGCCUUGAAAAAUAUCAACAAGUACCCAGAUUCGGUGUGGGCAGAGAAAAUUGAAACUGUUACUAUACUUUCAGACAGUUAUUUGGAUUUUUAAAAUCCUAUCUCCACA